GAUGAACGCUGGCGGCGUGCUUAACACAUGCAAGUCGAACGAAGCACUUUAUUUGAUUUCCUUCGGGACUGAUUAUUUUGUGACUGAGUGGCGGACGGGUGAGUAACGCGUGGGUAACCUGCCUUGUACAGGGGGAUAACAGUUGGAAACGGCUGCUAAUACCUCAUAAGCGCACGGCAUCGCAUGAUGCAGUGUGAAAAACUCCGGUGGUAUAAGAUGGACCCGCGUUGGAUUAGCUAGUUGGUGAGGUAACGGCCCACCAAGGCGACGAUCCAUAGCCGACCUGAGAGGGUGACCGGCCACAUUGGGACUGAGACACGGCCCAAACUCCUACGGGAGGCAGCAGUGGGGAAUAUUGCACAAUGGGCGAAAGCCUGAUGCAGCGACGCCGCGUGAGCGAAGAAGUAUUUCGGUAUGUAAAGCUCUAUCAGCAGGGAAGAUAAUGACGGUACCUGACUAAGAAGCACCGGCUAAAUACGUG
rnacentral:rRNA from 1 species